UUCAUAAACUACAAAGAUGUUUAUUUGUUUCAGGGAACUUAAGCGGCUCAUUUUGUCAGAUACAAAAUUAGGAAUGAACAAUUGCUUACAUUUUUAAAAUAGAUGUUUUAUUUCCCCUAGUUCCAUAAAAACAAUGUAAAUACAGGCAAUCUACAUCUUGCUGGUGAAGUCACAUAUUCCCUGGUCCUCUGAUCUCUUCCAGGUUUGGUUCUGUUGGGACCACUGGCUGCAGGAGUGGAGUGGAGGUGGGCUUAGGAGAGGCCAUGGCUAUUUGGUUUGGUGAUUGUUUUUAUUGCUUGCCCUGUCAGUCCACUUCCAUUCCUCCAAACAUGGAAUCAAAGUUUAAGAUUUCAGCCCUUAAUCCUGUAGGACUGUCAGCUUUUUCUUGCAUAGACAUUACUAGGGAUCUGACUGGUAGGGAGACUGGUACAGAAGGUGUUUAGGAGUGGGAAGCCAGCUAGGUGAACAGAGCCUGACCACAGGAGGGACUGCCAAGCGCUCUCGCCAGGCAUCUGGCUCAGCUGUGUUGAUGUCCUUGCAAUUAGAUCCCAGAAAGGCAGUUCCAACUUGAAAUCAGUGAAGCCUUUUGGCAAUGCGCUAAUUGCUUUAAGGAGGGGUGGGGGGUGGGGGGUCCACUUUAACAGUCUUGCAAGUGGAGAAUUGUCUCACAAAGCUUCUUGUGAAAGAUGGACGUAGAUUACUAAGGCUUAGCCAGGGGGCAGUUAGCAGCCAGGCGGUAAAACCAGGAUGGUCAAUUUAUAGUUCCCUUAGUUUUCUGAUUGUCACCUAGGUAAUUAAUAAUUGGAACUCCCUCGGCCAAGGUGGCAGGGUGGAACUGGUUAAUCGGGGUCCCGGUGUGGACCGUGCUGUGUGUGGAUGCGGCCUGGAGGGUAGCUUUACAGGAAUCCCACGGAAAGGAAUUCCCUCCAGUUUGCCUGCUUCUAGGUGCUUCAGGGACAAAAAUCUCAAUUUGGAUCUGCGUGCUUGAGUUUCUGUUCUUAAUAAUGUCCCUAAGAGCAACGGUUCGGGGGGGGGGGGGGGGGGGGGCGCUCAUAUCAAACACCCUGUAUCAGGUAAAACCAGCUCAUCAGAAAGUAAUUAUACCUGCCUGUCCCUCUCCCUCCCCGGCUUGUAUCAUUUCAUAUUAGUUCACAUUAUUUCACAGUUGCCUCCCAUUUACAGCAAGUGCCUCCAAUUCUCCUUUUUAGAGAAAGGAGAAUCUUUUUUAAUAUAACUUUGAAAAGGAGAAUCUUUUUCAAUAUAACAAAAUCUUUUUCUAUA
rnacentral:lncRNA from 1 species